CUAUUCUAAAAACUUAAGCUAGUAGAUAAAAAACGUUUACAUAUUGUGAAACAGCCGUUGUACUCUAAAAGGUUAAGCUGUUAGAUAACGGUGUUUAAACAUUUUUAUAUUUAACACUCUCCCUCACGUCUGGGCUCGAGAUUUUUUAGUCGGCCCAUGACGUGGGCUUGAUAAAUAGGAGGAAAUUAAUUAUACUAGGGGUCUGACAUGAUUUGAACUCAGGACCUUUUGCUCUGAUACCAUGUGAAACAACCGUUGUACUCUAAAAGCUUAAGCUGUUAGAAAACGGUGUUUAAACAUUUUUAUAUUUAACACAUAUUAUAUACAAAUCAGAUUUUUUUUUUUUUUUUUAGUUUAAUAC
rnacentral:lncRNA from 1 species